CCCCAUGCUUCGGGAUAGGACUAAGACAUGCUAGUCGUGUGACUCAGGCAAAACGAGUCACGGCACACAGCUCAGUAACACGUGGCUAAUCUGCCCUUAGGACGAGAACAACCCCGGGAAACUGGGGCUAACUCUUGAUAGGUGAAGAACUCUGGAAUGAGUCUUUGCCUAAAUAGAUUCACGUUAUCCUCGUGAAUCUGCCUAAGGAUGAGGCCGCGACCGAUCAGGUUGUUGGCGAGGUAAUGGCUCACCAAGCCUUUUACCGGUGCGGGCCGUGGGAGCGGGAGCCCGGAGAAUGGGUACUGAGACAAGGACCCAGGCCCUACGGGGCGCAGCAGUCGCGAAACCUUUGCAAUAAGCGAAAGCUUGACAGGGCUAUCCCGAGUGCCAUCCGCUGAGGAAGGCUUUUACCCAGUCUAGAACGCUGGGGGAAUAAGGAGAGGGCAAGUCUGGUGUCAGCCGCCGCGGUAAUACCAGCUCUUCGAGUGGUGUGGAUGUUUAUUGGGCCUAAAGCAUCCGUAGCUGGCUAGGUCAGUCCCUUGUUAAAUCCACCGAAUUAAUCGUUGGAUCGCGGGGGAUACUGCUUGGCUAGGGGACGAGAGAGGCAGACGGUAUUUUCGGGGUAGGGGUGAAAUCCUAUAAUCCCGGGAAGACCACCAGUGGCGAAGGCUGUCUGCUAGAACGCGCCCGACGGUGAGGGAUGAAAGCUGGGGGAGCGAACCGGAUUAGAUACCCGGGUAGUCCCAGCUGUAAACGAUGCAGACUAGGUGUUUGGACGGCCACGUGCCGUUCUAGUGCCGCAGGGAAGCUGUUAAGUCUGCCGCCUGGGGAGUACCAUCGCAAGAUUGAAACUUAAAGGAAUUGGCGGGGGAGCACCACAAGGGUGAAGCUUGCGGUUAA
rnacentral:rRNA from 1 species